rnacentral:rRNA from 1 species
CCUACGGGAGGCAGCAGUGGGGAAUAUUGCACAAUGGGCGAAACCCUGAUGCAGCCAAGCCGCGUGAGUGAGGAAGUAUUUCGGUAUGUAAAGCUCUAUCAGCAGGGAAUAGAAAAGAAGGUACCUGAAAAAGAAGCCCCGGCUAACCACGUGCCAGCAGCCGGGGUAAUACGUAGGGGGCAAGCGUUAUCCGGAUUUACUGGGUGUAAAGGGAGCGUAGACGGAAAGGAUAGUCAGAAGUGAAAACCCAAGGCCCAACCAUGGGAAUGCUUUUGAAACUGUCAAACUAGAGUACGGGAGAGGUAAGAGGAAUUCCUAGAGUAGCGGUGAAAUGCGUAGAUAUUAGGAAGAACACCAGUAGCGAAGGCGUCUUACUGGACCGAAACUGACGUUGAGGCACGAAAGCGUGGGGAGCAAACAGGAUUAGAUACCCGAGUAGUC